rnacentral:rRNA from 1 species
GCUCGUAGUUGGAUCUCGGCGGGUAGAGGGCGGUUUGCUUCGUAGCAUUACUGCCCUAUUACCCGUAGUUUUUGCCAGAGGUUCCUGGGUGCUCUUAAUCGAGUGUCUAGGGAUGCUGGCAGGUUUACUUUGAAAAAAUUAGAGUGCUCAAAGCAGGCUAUUACGCUUGAAUAUUCGUGCAUGGAAUAAUAGAAUAGGAAGUUGUUUCUAUUUUGUUGGUUUUCGGAAAUCGACUUAAUGAUUAAUAGGGACAGUCGGGGGCAUUUGUAUUCAAACGACAGAGGUGAAAUUCUUGGACCGUUUGAAGACAAACUACUGCGAAAGCAUUUGCCAAGAAUGCUUUCAUUAAUCAAGAACGAAAGUUAGAGGUUCGAAGGCGACUAGAUACCGCCCUAGUUCUAACCAUAAACGAUGCCAGCUAGCGAUCUGAGGACGUUUUUUUUGUAGACUCCUCAGGAAGCUUCCGGGAAACCAAAGCGUGUGGGUUCCGGGGGAAGUAUGGUUGCAAAGCUGAAACUUAAAGGAAUUGACGGAAGGGCACCACCAGGAGUGGAGCCUGCGGCUUAAUUUGACUCAACACGGGAAAUCUCACCAGGCCCGGACACUGGAAGGAUUGACAGAUUGAGAGCUCUUUCUCGAUUCGGUGGGUGGUGGUGCAUGGCCGUUCUUAGUUGGUGGAGUGAUUUGUCUGGUUAAUUCCGAUAACGAACGAGACUCUGUCCUGCUAAAUAGUGUCGGCCUCUCUUUUGGGCCGACAAUUCUUCUUAGAGGGACUGGCAGCUCCUAGCUGCACGAGAUAGAGCAAUAACAGGUCUGUGAUGCCCUUAGAUGUUCUGGGCAGCACGCGCGCUACACUGAAUAGAUCAGCGUGUUCUCCCUUUCUGAGAAGAACGGGUAAACCGCUGAACCCUAUUCGUGGUA